rnacentral:tRNA from 1 species
UAAAAACUAGUUAAUAUUAUUAUAAUAUAAGAAUGUCAUUCUUAAGAAACUUUAGGUGUUUUUAA